AGGAGGAAUGAGGAUAUAAUUCCAUACGUCUGCAAAUCUGAAACACAGUGUUGAUACAUUGACAUGCACUACCAUCUGACCUCUC
rnacentral:snoRNA from 1 species